AUCUGAGAAGCAGGACAAGCGGGUUGACGUCAGAGCAACCUAGUCGGAUGUUUGAAAAUCGAAUGAGAGAGCUGUGUAAUACAGUGCAGCAAUCUGUUCUGGAAUUUGGAAACCAGCGGGAGGUCAUUCCAAAGAGAUGGAGCGGCAACGGAAAAGGCUCCAUCACCGCUUGACCCUCCGCUUACGCCUUGGUGAAGGAGUGGGCGGAACAGGUGGCGGGGACGUCCGUGGGACAGUCGUCUUCAUCGGAGCCGUCGCCGCAGUCAUCCGUGCCGUCGCAGCGCCACACGGGCAGGAUGCAGUGCUUGUUGUUGCAGGUGAAGGCAAUGGGCGCUGAAAUGUUGAUGGUAUCAACACCUACUCACCGAUAUUGGUGCAAUUGGCCUCGUCGGACUUAUCCACGCAGUCCAAAUAGCCGUC